GCUGACGUCGGGCCCGGGGCGUGUGGAAUAGGGAGGUGGCAAGGGUUGUGCGGAUUUACUGGGCGUACAGGGGUCGGAGGCGGUUGGGUAAGCCCUCCGUGAAAUCGCCGGGCCUAACCCGGAAAGUGCGGAGGGGACUGCUCGGCUAGAGGAUGGGAGAGGAGCGCGGAAGUCCCGGUGUAGCGGUGAAAUGCGUAGAGAUCGGGAGGAAGGCCGGUGGCGAAGGCGACGCUCUGGAACAUUUCUGACGCUGAGGCUCGAAAGCGUGGGGAGCAAACAGGAUUAGAUACCCCUGUAGUC
rnacentral:rRNA from 1 species